rnacentral:rRNA from 1 species
GAUGAACGCUGGCGGCGUGCCUAAUACAUGCAAGUCGAGCGAAAAGACGAGGAGCUUGCUCCUCUGACGAUAGCGGCGGACGGGUGAGUAACACGUGGAUAACCUACCUAUCAGACUGGGAUAACUUCGGGAAACAGGAGCUAAUAACGGAUAAUAUAUUGAACCGCAUGGUUCAAUAGUGAAAGACGGUGUUGCGGUCUGUUAUAGAUGGAUCUGCGCCGCAUUAGCUAGUUGGUAAGGUAACGGCUUACCAAGGCAACGAUGCGUAGCCGGCGUGAGGGGGUGAGCGGCCACCCUGGAACUGAACCGCGGUCCAGACUCCUACGGGAGGCAGCAGUAGGGUAUCUUCCGCAGUGGGCGGGAGCCUGGCGGAACACCGCCGAGUGGGUUGCAGAAGUCUUCCGAUCGGGAUGCUCUGUUGUUAGUAAAGAACAAAUGUGUAAGUAACUAUGCACGUCUUGACGGUACCGAAUCAGAAAGCCACGGCUAACUACGUG